AGAGUUUGAUCCUGGCUCAGGAUGAACGCUAGCGGCAGGCCUAAUACAUGCAAGUCGAGGGGCAGCACGGUAGCAAUACUGGUGGCGACCGGCGCACGGGUGCGUGACACGUAUACAAUCUGCCUUUAACUGGGGCAUAACCUUUCGAAAGAGAGACUAAUACCCCAUAAUAGUAGAGAAGGCAUCUUCUUUAUUUGAAAGCUCCGGCGGUUAAAGAUGAGUAUGCGGAUGAUUAGCUAGAUGGUGAGGUAACGGCUCACCAUGGCGACGAUCAAUAGGGGAUCUGAGAGGACUACCCCCCACACUGGUACUGAGACACGGACCAGACUCCUACGGGAGGCAGCAGUAAGGAAUAUUGGACAAUGCUCGCAAGAGUGAUCCAGCCAUGCCGCGUGCAGGAAGACGGCCCUAUGGGUUGUAAACUGCUUUUGAACUAGAGAAAACCCCCCUUCGUGAAGGGGGCUGAUAGUAUAGUUAGAAUAAGCAUCGGCUAACUUCGUGCCAGCAGCCGCGGUAAGACGAAGGAUGCAAGCGUUAUCCGGAUUCAUUGGGUUUAAAGGGAGCGUAGGUGGAUUUGUAAGUCAGUGGUGAAAGCCGGCAGCUUAACUGUCGAACUGCCAUUGAUACUGCGGAUCUUGAGUAUGGUUGCUGUGGGCGGAAUAUGACAUGUAGAGGUGAAAUUCAUAGAGAUGUCAUAGAACACCGAUUGCGAAGGCAGCUCACAAAGCCAUUACUGACACUGAGGCUCGAAAGUGCGGGAUCAAACAGGAUUAGAUACCCUGGUAGU
rnacentral:rRNA from 1 species